rnacentral:tRNA from 21 species
GGGCCGUUAGCUCAGUUGGUAGAGCAGUUGGCUUUUAACCAAUUGGUCGAAGGUUCGAAUCCUUCACGGCCCACCA